rnacentral:rRNA from 1 species
GGGGAAUUUUGCGCAAUGGGCGAAAGCCUGACGCAGCAACGCCGCGUGGGUGAUGAAGGUCUUCGGAUUGUAAAACCCUGUCGUCAGGGACGAAGGUUGCGUAAUGAAUAAUUGCGUAGCUUGACGGUACCUGGAGAGGAAGCCCCGGCUAACUCUGUGCCAGCAGCCGCGGUAAUACAGAGGGGGCAAGCGUUAUUCGGAAUUAUUGGGCGUAAAGGGCGCGUAGGCGGUUUUUUAAGUCAGAUGUGCAAUCCCCGAGCUCAACUUGGGAACUGCAUCUGAGACUGGAAGACUAGAGUACUGGAGAGGGUGGUAGAAUUCCACGUGUAGCGGUGAAAUGCGUAGAGAUGUGGAGGAAUACCAGUGGCGAAGGCGGCCACCUGGACAGUAACUGACGCUGAGGCGCGAAAGUGUGGGUAGCAAAC